GUUUUAUUUGUCUAUAUCCUAGAUUCACAGCUGGACACAUCCUUCUACACUGUAUGCAAACAUGCAACAUCAUUACACACAGUACAAGGAGUCAGACUGGCAUAUGAGGAGCAAAGGUGUGUCACACAUAUGAUGUAUUUAGCUAGUGAAACCACUACCAGUCUUAGAUGUAUAACUGAUGAUGACAAAGUUUUUUUUCUCUGCAUAAUCAUAGGAACCCAGGCAGUAGCAUCGUUUCACAAUGUUUCCAUCACCAUCAUCAGUGGAUGCCUUUGCCGUCCGUAGCCUGAGAUUUCAGAUUUGCAGCAAAAAAAAUUUGAUUUUCUCAUUUAUUGGAAUGCUGUGCAGUUAUUUGUACCUUGCAGCCAUCCAUUACAAUGUCACCAAGCCGUAACAAAAGCAGGAGAGGGAAAGUACAAAGCUAUGUUCCCAAAACACACAAGUGACAUACCUUAUGUGAAGGAUGUGAUCAGGC